rnacentral:rRNA from 1 species
GAUGAACGCUGGCGGCGUGCCUAAUACAUGCAAGUCGAGCGAACAGACGAGGAGCUUGCUCCUCUGACGUUAGCGGCGGACGGGUGAGUAACACGUGGAUAACCUACCUAUAAGACUGGGAUAACUUCGGGAAACCGGAGCUAAUACCGGAUAAUAUAUUGAACCGCAUGGUUCAAUAGUGAAAGACGGUUUUGCUGUCACUUAUAGAUGGAUCCGCGCCGCAUUAGCUAGUUGGUAAGGUAACGGCUUACCAAGGCAACGAUGCGUAGCCGACCUGAGAGGGUGAUCAGCCACACUGGAACUGAGACACGGUCCAGACUCCUACGGGAGGCAGCAGUAGGGAAUCUUGGGCAAUGGGCGAAAGCUUGACGGAGCAACGCCGCGUGAGUGAUGAAGGUCUUCGGAUCGUAAAACUCUGUUAUUAGGGAAGAACAAAUGUGUAAGUAACUAUGCACGUCUUGACGGUACCUAAUCAGAAAGCCACGGCUAACUACGUG